AUAAAAGGUACGCCGGGGAUAACAGGCUGAUACUGCCCAAGAGUCCAUAUCGACGGCAGUGUUUGGCACCUCGAUGUCGGCUCAUCUCAUCCUGGGGCUGGAGCAGGUCCCAAGGGUACGGCUGUUCGCCGUUUAAAGAGGUACGUGAGCUGGGUUUAGAACGUCGUGAGACAGUUCGGUCCCUAUCUGCCGUGGGUGUAGGAGAAUUGAGAGGAUCUGUCCCUAGUACGAGAGGACCGGGAUGGACGUACCUCUGGUGGACCUGUUGUGGCGCCAGCCGCAUUGCAGGGUAGCUAUGUAUGGACGGGAUAACCGCUGAAAGCAUCUAAGCGGGAAACCCACCUCAAAACCAGUUCUCCCUGAAGAGCCGUGGAAGACCACCACGUCGAUAGGAAGCGUGUGGAAGUGCGGCAACGCAUGAAGCUUAGCUUUACUAAU
rnacentral:rRNA from 15 species